AAACACAAUAAUUGAAAUGUGUAACGUGGACAGCAGCUAAGAUGUCUGUUUCCAUAACAGCACACAGCACCAGAAAGGCCUGCAAUGACACAGGGUACUGUUUCUAUGGUAAUACUGUUUCUUUGCCUCAAGGAUGCAAGAAAAUCCAUGAUGAAAAGCAGGAACUUUUUAGGUUAAUGGGAAUUCCUUGUUUAUAGUGAUCAGCAUCUAGCUCCUUUCUGUCACAUCUUUCUUAUAUCAACUUGUAACUGCCUUUAGGUUGGAGACCCUCUUUCGCUUGUUUUCUUAAGAAGAUUCAGGAACAUGGGAAAAGCACACAGAAUUGAGAGUCCCAGUGUAGCUAGGAACUGCUGUUACUUAGAAGGGCAUAACUCACUUUUUCUGAAGACUGAAACUCCUAGAUAGUCUGCCUGUCUCUGCCUGUGUGUACAUUCCUACCACGCUGAAAUUGUUACCAUGCUGCCUUCUCACACUUUUUAUGUAUUUGUUACACUCUACCUACCUGUCUGAAGUGGUUACAAUGCACCAUAAAUGUACAUUCUGUACCUUUGCCUUUCUUACUUUUCAGCAUCAAGUUCCUCCCAUCUUCAGCCUCAGCACAUCUUGUCCUGCAUCCCCUCACCAGGAGGCAUCCCCACCCGCACUGACUGGCUGGGCACCAGGCUGAACAGAAUUGAAUCCAUCACACGCAGCUCCUACCAGCAGUGCCACCACUCUGGGUUUCUGCACUCUCAGAGUGGAUGAGGUGGAUCUUCUCCCCCAGUCUGCUGGCCACUCUUUUUAAUGAGCCCCGAUGGCCUUCUUAGCCACAAGGGCACACUGCUGGCUCGUGCUGCUGGUAUCCCAGGAAAAAAGCACAGCUCCAUGAAACCCAACGGGGGCAAUGACAGGAAUACCUUUAACCACGAUCCACAAGUGAAAUGCGCGUCCAUUGCCACGACAUGCACCACUGGGAAGGGUGGAAGUACUCUGCCAGGAAGACACAGCUAAGAAAGAACGGCUUGGACAGCGGUCAGGUCAGCAGUAAGUGCCAAACCUGAGACAGACCAAGCUCUUUGCAGUGUGGAUGUGACCACUGCACUCUAGAGAAAGGUAGCCCUGGGCUGAGCAGACACUGAUUCACAUUCGAGUGCUGAAGAACUUGGAGUUCCUUGGAGUGCACCAUAAAUCGUGUGUGAAUGUAGUACCUCCUAUCCCAACAAAAAGCAUAUAAAAAUUACAAAGAAAGGUAAGUUUAUGGCACAGGAAGGGAUACAAGUAGUGUCAAACCUUAUUAUCACUUGUAGCCUCCCAGAUUUUUGCUAGAGGAAUAUAGAAUUGCUCAAAGACAACAAAAUAUAAGAGGAAUUGUGACAGAGGUAAAUAAAAGGUCAAGUUAAUUGGCAAACCCUGAUAUUUUGGUAGAAACAAAUCUUUAAAAAGAGGUUUUUCUCUGAACCUAUCAAACUUAUAUUACAGAAGAAUCAUUUCAUACUGGAAAGUACAUCAAUCAAUCCAACAUCCUAAACUGUUCUGUGUUUAUAGCAAUAAAGAGCUGGAUACUGAGCUACAAGAACGUAGGGCUUCCUUGACAACACGCUGAGAAAAAACACAACUACAUAAAAGCUUAUGGAGAAAAUAAGAAAAAAUAUAGUUGAGUUGGCUGAAUGGUGUGGAACGUGGAUUUAGCCAUGUGAGUGGUACUGGGCUGGAAUCAGUGAUGUGCCUCUACAGUUCUGGUUACUGAUGUUCUCCUUCAUUGUUUCUGACAUUGAUCUGAAAGCUGAUUUUAGUGAUGAAUGACCCUGUCAAAUUCCAGUCUUGUUUUCUGCAAAGUACAUUUAAGUUAAUGUAGCUGUUGGUUUUUAGAACAUUUCUGAAUACCAUCAGCAGUUCUGAAGUUAUCUGUUUUCUAUGACAAACAAGAAACAGAUGGAGGAAUUGGUAUGAGUAGUCUGUGCAUAUGUAAAAAAAAAAACUAACCUUCCUGACUUUCUGAGUUGAAGCAACUGUUCCUCUGAAAGCUACAUGGCUUUUAAGCACAUCAUAAUUAUAAUUAAUCAUUUUUAUGAUGUGAUAUGCCUGAAAAUACUAUAGCUCAUUAUUCCAGCAAUCUGAAAAACCUGGAAAGAUUCUUCAUACUCCUCCUGCAAGACAUUUAUUUUGUAGAAGACACAGCUUUAAUGUCCUCCUCUUUUUACCCUUUCAGCUCUCAGCAAAAGAAUGACUUGAGCACAGAGGAGUAAAUGAAGCUCUCUUCAUUCCCACCCUGUCUCCAGGUGCGGUAGGACCAAUUCUCAACUCACUGACCUGUUGUCUCUCAGUUUUAAGUUUUGUUUUGGGGUUGUGGAAUAUCCUUAUGAAUUAAUGCCUAAAUCAAUCAUUUGCCAGAACUGCUCAUGCUGAAUUAAUACUAAAAAUAUAUAAACCAAGUGGAGCCCCAGAUCAACCCUGUAUGAUGAUUCGGCACUUACAACCUUAGCUGGAGCACAUUACAUAUAAUUUUAUACAAAAUAAGGUCUGUAACUUUUAAUAGGAGACAGCUUGAGGCUACAACUAGCCUGUGUAUGUAUGCACUCAAGUGAGUGUCUACAUGCACAACCCUGCUGUUGAGGUAUGGAAAAACUAUGAGCGCUUUAAAGCAGAAAUUCAAUAGCAAAACACUUUGGUUACAUGAAUAGUCAGCUACACUUUGGUCCUGAUUGCCUCAGCGUUUUCUCUGCAGCCCUUGACUCUCUUCCCUAUGGGACCUAUUACUUAUGCCUUGUGUUUUAGUUCUUUUCCCUGUACUGGCAUUUCUUUGGCAAGUAGAGCCACGUUUGCUUCUAAUGAAAGUGCCUCUCCCUUUUGCUGUUCAAGCACAUUUUUGUCUUCUAGCUCUUUUCUCCUGGACUUCUAUUUUUUUUUUUUUGGCCUGACAUGUGUGAGGGAUGCACUUGUGUUUAGGGUGGCAGCUUUUGCUGUCCAGCAAAAACAUACAGAAGUGCCACACGACCACCAGUAGCCAUUAUUCAUUACUGACAUUAGAGUCAUAAUUAGCUCUCCAAUUUACUGGAAUGGCCUGAUUGAUCUUGCUUUCAAUUUUUUUUGUUAUGAUCUAAUGUUUCCAAAUUUUUAAUACUUGCUUUAAGAGAUUCUAUCAAUUUAUAGAGCUGUGUUCUGUGGGGAAAUAUAUCAUGUUAAGUACCUAAGUGUACUCCAAGUGCACCUGUGGUCAAAUAGAAGCUAUGUAGGCAAUCAUGUUCUGUACAUUCAAAAUUAAGAGUUCACACAUAUAAACACUGCUGUAUGUGCUAACUGAUAGAAUUAUUAUAUAAUAACUGUUCAUGUGGGUUAGUCCUGAGAAGAGGACUAGGUGCAUUCAGACAUUUGAGAUGUCACUUUAUCUGCAGCACAGUGGCUAAUGAUA